GAGUUUGAUCCUGGCUCAGGAUGAACGCUGGCGGCGUGCUUAACACAUGCAAGUCGAACGGAGAUAUAUUUGUAGUAAUAUGGAUAUAUUUUAGUGGCGGACGGGUGAGUAACGCGUGAGGAACCUGCCUUGGAGAGGGGAAUAACACAUUGAAAAGUGUGCUAAUACCGCAUGAUAUAUUGGAGUCGCAUGACUCUAAUAUCAAAGAUUUAUCGCUCUGAGAUGGCCUCGCGUCUGAUUAGCUAGUUGGUGAGGUAACGGCCC
rnacentral:rRNA from 1 species